rnacentral:rRNA from 1 species
UACGUAGGGUGCGAGCGUUGUCCGGAAUUAUUGGGCGUAAAGAGCUUGUAGGCGGUUUGUCGCGUCUGCCGUGAAAAUUCGAGGCUCAACCUCGGGCUUGCAGUGGGUACGGGCAGACUAGAGUGCGGUAGGGGUGACUGGAAUUCCUGGUGUAGCGGUGGAAUGCGCAGAUAUCAGGAGGAACACCGAUGGCGAAGGCAGGUCACUGGGCCGGCAACUGACGCUGAGGAGCGAAAGCAUGGGGAGCGAACAGG